rnacentral:rRNA from 1 species
GGCGUGCCUAAUACAUGCAAGUCGAACGCACAGCGAAAGGUGCUUGCACCUUUCAAUGAGUGGCGAACGGGUGAGUAACACGUGGACAACCUGCCUCAAGGGUGGGGAUAACAUUUGGAAACAGAUGCUAAUACCGAAUAAAACUUAGUGUCGCCUGACACAAAGUUAAAAGGCGCUUCGGCGUCACCUAGAGAAGGAUCCGCGGUGCUUUAGUUAGUUGGUGGGGUAAAGGCCUACCAAGACAAUGAUGCAUAGCCGAGUUGAGAGACUGAUCGGCCACAUUGGGAUGAGACACGGCCCAAACUCCUACGGGAGGCUGCAGUAGGGAAUCUUCCACAAUGGGCGAAAGCCUGAUGGAGCAACGCCGCGUGUGUGAUGAAGGCUUUCGGGUCGUAAAGCACUGUUGUAUGGGAAGAACAGCUAGAAUAGGAAAUGAUUUUA